GGAAAAAACAAAACAAAACAAAAAACAUCUGGUGUUUCGUCCUUGUGGGCUAUGAUUCUGUUUAUUUGAGGAAAUAUUACUGAUGACCUUUUUUUUUUCUCAUUUGUCGUUUUUAUUGAUGCAUUCGACAAAGAGCAUUGUUUUACUGAAUGUUCUUAGAAACUGUUUGUUCGGCAUUCAAUACAGUAUGCAAACAUGUUACAGCAAUUAACAGAUUAGAAUAUCCGAUUAA